CCACGGGCAACCAGCUCUGUAGAACAACAAUGCUUUCCUCCCAGCUGGUGUUUUGCUAAUCCUGAAUCGUGUUGUUUGCUGGCCAUGCAAAACGUGAAAAAGGUAGAAACUGCCUUCCACUGGAUUCUGAAGAUAUCCAUGGGACCGUCGUGGAUCAACUUUCACUCCUUCCUCAAGGAUUCCUGUUGCAUGAUGGGAUGUCUCACACAUGCCCUGCCCCCUGCCAUGGGAUCCUUGCCAGAGCUGAGCUGAUGCCUGUUCCAUACCCUUGACUAGUUAAAGCGCAAUGACACCUCCGAGUGCAGACUUAUUUGGAUCAUCCCAGGGCGCAUGAAUAAGG